UACGGAGGGUGCAAGCGUUAUCCGGAUUCACUGGGUUUAAAGGGUGCGUAGGCGGGCAGGUAAGUCCGUGGUGAAAUCUCUGAGCUUAACUCAGAAACUGCCAUGGAUACUAUUUGUCUUGAAUGUUGUGGAGGUAAGCGGAAUAUGUCAUGUAGCGGUGAAAUGCUUAGAUAUGACAUAGAACACCAAAUUCGCGAAGGCAGCUUACUACACAAAUAUUGACGCUGAGGCACGAAAGCGUGGGGAUCAAACAGG
rnacentral:rRNA from 1 species